UACAGAGGUCUCAAGCGUUGUUCGGAUUCAUUGGGCGUAAAGGGUGCGUAGGCGGCGCGGUAAGUCGGGUGUGAAAUUUCGGAGCUUAACUCCGAAACUGCAUUCGAUACUGCCGUGCUUGAGGACUGGAGAGGAGACUGGAAUUUUACGGUGUAGCAGUGAAAAUGCGUAGAGAUCGUAAGGAAGACCAGUGGCGAAGGCGGGUCUCUGGACAGUUUUCCUGACGCUGAGGCACGAAGGCCAGGGAGCAAACGGGG
rnacentral:rRNA from 1 species